CCGCCCCUCGGGCCUCCCGCGGUUCUUGAAGGGGCACGUGUCUGAGUGAAGAAACCAGGCUGUGAAGGUGACCUGCCCCAGCCGCCAGCCGGUCAGCAGCACAGCUGUGGCUGGAACGCUGUGCCAGCCCGCGCCGGGAACUGGGGUAGCGAAGCCUCACCUGCACUCCUCGCUGCUCCAG